GACGAACGCUGGCGGCGUGCUUAACACAUGCAGGUCGAACGGAAAGGCCCUGCUUUUGUGGGGUGCUCGAGUGGCGAACGGGUGAGUAACACGUGAGUAACCUGCCCUUGACUUUGGGAUAACUUCAGGAAACUGGGGCUAAUACCGGAUAGGAGCUCCUGCUGCAUGGUGGGGGUUGGAAAGUUUCGGCGGUUGGGGAUGGACUUGCGGCUUAUCAGCUUGUUGGUGGGGUAGUGGCUUACCAAGGCUUUGACGGGUAGCCGGCCUGAGAGGGUGACCGGCCACAUUGGGACUGAGAUACGGCCCAGACUCCUACGGGAGGCAGCAGUGGGGAAUAUUGCACAAUGGGCGGAAGCCUGAUGCAGCAACGCCGCGUGCGGGAUGACGGCCUUCGGGUUGUAAACCGCUUUCGCCUGUGACGAAGCGUGAGUGACGGUAAUGGGUAAAGAAGCACCGGCUAACUACGUG
rnacentral:rRNA from 1 species